AACGCGAAGAACCUUACCCGGGCUUGAACUACGGAUGGUAAGUCCCUAGAAACAGGGGCUGACCCGCAAGGGAGUCCGCAGAGGUGCUGCAUGGUUGUCGUCAGCUCGUGUCGUGAGAUGUUGGGUUAAGUCCCGCAACGAGCGCAACCCCUAUUCGAUGUUGCUAAUCCCGCAAGGGAUGCACUCUUCGAAAACUGCCUUCGAUAAGAAGGAGGAAGGUGGGGACGACGUCAAAUCCUCAUGGCCCUUAUGUCCGGGGCUACACACGUGUUACAAUGGCCGGUACAAUGGGAAGCAAUGCCGUAAGGUGGAGCCAAACCCACAAAGCCGGCCCCAGUUCAGAUUGUGGGCUGCAACUCGCCCACAUGAAGGCGGAAUCGCUAGUAAUCGCUGAUCAGCAGGCAGCGGUGAAUACGUUCCCGGGCCUUGUA
rnacentral:rRNA from 2 species